rnacentral:ncRNA from 1 species
CUCCAAGUUUCUUUGGAGAAUUAGACUAUGUCUUAAAUCUGUCAUAAGAUCUACAAUCAUAUAGUCGUUGAACUGCAUGCAUUAUUAUGCACUUGGCUGCAAAUUAUCUAAACUUAAACAUUUUUAGCAAUUGUAAUUUAAGUAUCAAGAUCUUUUUGCAAUUUGAUUGUAUCGCAAGAUAUUCCAUCUUACUAAUAUUUAAAAUAUUUUAACUCCCUACAAUUUAGGAGUGCAA